rnacentral:snoRNA from 1 species
GGCUUUUUGCUCCUAGCCUGUCAGGGAUCCCGUGGCUCCUCAGCCAGGGCUGGAGGCCGAGUUCAGCCCUGAAGGAGCAUCGUCAGCGCUGCUGCAAGCGGGCAGCCUUGUUUUCCUGCCUCUGACAUGU